CUGACAGCCCUAGAAACUAUCUACAGAGCAGGUCCAGCACUGGCAGAGACAGUAUUAGCGCCCAUGCUAAUGUGCCUCAAACCUGUUCUGGAGAGACCACUUCUAGGGGCUAGAGAGCAGUUCACUCUCCAUGCUAAUGCAAACUUUGGCAUCU
ensembl:misc_RNA